AUGUCUUACACUCCCAGGAUUGGUGGGGACCCGGCCAGUUGGCCCAACACAUCUCUUCCAACAUCCAGAAGAUCACACAGUGUUCUGUGGAAAUACAAAGGACUCUGAAUCAACUUGGAACACCUCAAGAUUCACCUGAAUUGAGGCAACAGCUGCAACAGAAGCAGCAGUAUACUAACCAACUUGCCAAAGAAACAGAUAAGUACAUUAAAGAGUUUGGAUCUCUGCCCACCACCCACAGUGAACAGUGUCAAAGGAAAAUACAGAAGGAUCAUUUAGUGGUUGAAUUCACAACAUCACUGACAAAUUUUCAGAAAGUCCAGAGACAAGCUGCUGAUAGAGAGAAAGAGUUUGUUGCUCAAGUAAGAGCCAGUUCCAGAGUAUCUGGCAGUUUUCCUGAGGACAGCUCAAAAGAAAGGAAUCUUGUAUCCUGGGAAAGUCAAACACAACUUCAGGUGCAGGUAUAGGAUGAAGAAAUUACAGAGGAUGACCUCCACCUCAUUCAUGAGAGAGAGUCUUCUAUCAGGCAACUUGAAGGUGAUAUUAUGGAUAUUAAUGAAAUAUUUAAAGACUUGGGAAUGAUGGUACAUGAACAAGGAGAUGUGAUUGAUAGCAUAGAAGCCAACAUAGAAAGUGCAGAGGUACAUGUUCAACAGGCAAAUCAGCAGUUGUAGAGAGCGGCAGAUUAUCAGCGCAAAUCCAGAAAUCCCUCUGCAUCAUCAUUUUUAUCCUUGUCAUUGGAAUUGUAAUUAUCAGACUCAUCAUGUGGAGAUUAAAAGGCUAA